AUUGAACGCUGGCGGCAUGCCUUACACAUGCAAGUCGAACGGUAACAGGUCUUCGGAUGCUGACGAGUGGCGAACGGGUGAGUAAUACAUCGGAACGUGCCUAGUAGUGGGGGAUAACUACUCGAAAGAGUGGCUAAUACCGCAUGAGAUCUACGGAUGAAAGCAGGGGAUCGCAAGACCUUGUGCUACUAGAGCGGCCGAUGGCAGAUUAGGUAGUUGGUGGGAUAAAAGCUUACCAAGCCGACGAUCUGUAGCUGGUCUGAGAGGACGAUCAGCCACGCUGGGACUGAGACACGGCACAGACUCCUACGGGAGGCAGCAGUGGGGAAUUUUGGACAAUGGGCGCAAGCCUGAUCCAGCAAUGCCGCGUGCAGGAUGAAGGCCUUCGGGUUGUAAACUGCUUUUGUACGGAACGAAAAGCCCCGGGUUAAUACCCUGGGGUCAUGACGGUACCGUAAGAAUAAGCACCGGCUAACUACGUGCCAGCAGCCGCCGUAA
rnacentral:rRNA from 1 species